AGUCUUCAUAGCAGCUAAUAAUCCAUACCACCCAUGUUGUCAGGCAUUGUAGGACUGUCUUUAUCUUCUUUUGGGAGUUCAGAAACAAUAACUUCGGUUGUUAUCAUCAAAGACGAUACACUGCAGAAAAAUGAUGGUACAUUUUCUUAUACGAGACUAUAACAAAAUCAAAGUUUGAGAUGCAAUUGACACAGGAGCCAAUACAUGAUCGAAUAUCGCGAAAUGUUGCAUCUGCACUAGCAUCCUUAAAGUAACCACCCACACAAAAAGUUUGUUGUUAUGGCCAAGGAUUUUGAUUCUGUCUUGUAAACUUUCUGUCAAAUGGGACUUCAACCAAUAAUUCGGAAGAAGUCUGAAAUUCUACUUGAAAGUAUUCAUCCCUACCUCUGAAAUUCUGCUUGAAAGUAUUCAUCGUCCCU